GGGUGAUUAGCUCAGCUGGGAGAGCAGCUGCCUUAUCAGCGGGUCGGCGGUUCGAUCCCGUCAUCACCCACCA
rnacentral:tRNA from 1 species